rnacentral:misc_RNA from 1 species
GAUGAAGAACGCAGCGAAACGCGAAAAGUAAUGUGAAUUGCAGAAUUCAGUGAAUCAUCGAAUCUUUGAACGCACAUUGCGCCCGCUGGUACUCCGGCGGGCACGCCUGUCCGAGCGUCAUUUCAACCCUCAAGCCCUCCUUCGGGAUGGGCCUGGUGUUGGGGCUCGGCCGCCAUCUCCGGCGGCCGUCCCCUAAAUACAGUGGCGGUCACGUCGCGACUCCUUUGCGUAGUAGAAACACCUCGCUCCGGAUAGCAACGCGGUCCACGCCGUAAAAUCCCCAAUUUUCAAUGGUUGACCUCGGAUCAGGUGGGAAUACCCGCUGAACUUAAGCAUAUCAAUAAGCGGAGGA